GAUGAACGCUGGCGGCGUGCCUAAUACAUGCAAGUCGAGCGAACAGACGAGGAGCUUGCUCCUCUGACGUUAGCGGCGGACGGGUGAGUAACACGUGGAUAACCUACCUAUAAGACUGGGAUAACUUCGGGAAACCGGAGCUAAUACCGGAUAAUAUAUUGAACCGCAUGGUUCAAUAGUGAAAGGCGGUUUUGCUGUCACUUAUAGAUUGAUCCGCGCCGCAUUAGCUAGUUGGUAAGGUAACGGCUUACCAAGGCAACGAUGCGUAGCCGACCUGAGAGGGUGAUCGGCCACACUGGAACUGAGACACGGUCCAGACUCCUACGGGAGGCAGCAGUAGGGAAUCUUCCGCAAUGGGCGAAAGCCUGACGGAGCAACGCCGCGUGAGUGAUGAAGGUCUUCGGAUCGUAAAACUCUGUUAUUAGGGAAGAACAAAUGUGUAAGUAACUAUGCACGUCUUGACGGUACCUAAUCAGAAAGCCACGGCUAACUACGUG
rnacentral:rRNA from 1 species